AUGAGAAGUACUACAAUCAGAAAUUACCUGCAAUUAAAUGUAGCUUUCCUUCCAUUAAAAAGCCAAAACUAUAAAAGGCUCUUCUAUACCAUUCUUACAUGAACUAAUUUUUAUCAAGGUUUUGUCACAUAAUCAGCACAAAAACUCUGUGAAGGAAGUCUUUUAUUUUUAUUCCAAUUUUUCAGAUGUAGAAAAUGAUCGAGUGACUUGAUUUCCAUAAUAGCAGACAGAACUCAUUAGAAGAAUUUUCCAAAAGGCCAAGACCUCUCCUAGUUAUUAACUUUGCACUGGCAAUUUCAUGUCCUAAGCAUUCACACGGGGGUUUUAGCAACGGUUGUGGCAUUAAGCUGCAUUUUAAGUGGCUAUAUAAGAUGCAACAACAUCAUUACCUUGAAUUAAAGUGCAAGAGGAACACUCCACUGGGAGCGCAUCGUAUCCUACAUGAAGAAAAUAAUUCAUGAGAAAGACAGAUCUGUAUGAGAUUAAUCGGAAAGAUGCUGAAUGUUACGUGCUCAUAUGUGGAGGGAAAACCAGGUCCUGCCAUUUACAUUAGACAUUAUUACAGCGAUGCCACAAGCCAGCCCCAGAAUCUCUGCCCUUGCAGGAGGCAGGGAGUCAAAUUAUAUUAUGUUUGUGACAAAAGAUCAGAGAAGUGAGUGAUCAUUGCCAUCUUAAGGAAUGGAAAAGGAAGAUAAAGGAAGGAACUAAAGGAAGUCCACAAGCUGUCCAUUUUCAAAGUUGGACCCCACAGCCGGCCUCUCCAAUUCUAUACAAUUACUAUGUGUACAUUGCUGAAAGUUUUAAGAUCACCGGAAGUGGCCUCUGGAUUACUAAUACAUGAUGUCAUAUUUCAUUAAUAAGAAGUGGGACAUAUU
rnacentral:lncRNA from 1 species